rnacentral:rRNA from 1 species
ACUCCUACGGGAGGCAGCAGUGGGGAAUAUUGGACAAUGGGGGAACCGUAGCAUCCAGCCAUGCCGCGUGUGUGAAGAAGGCCUUCGGGUUGUAAAGCACUUUCAGUAGUGAGGAGGAUUGCGUGUUUAAGAGAUGCGCAUGAAGACGUUAACUACAGAAGAAGCACCGGCUAACUCUGUGCCAGCAGCCGCGGUAAUACAGAGGGUGCGAGCGUUAAUCGGACUUACUGGGCGUAAGGGUGAGUAGGCGGAAUUGUAAGUUAGUUGUGAAAGUCCAGGGCUUAACCUUGGAAGGUCAAUUGAUACUGCAAUUUCUAGAGUUCAGCAGAGAGAGUGGAAUUUCCGGUGUAGCGGUGAAAUGCGUAGAUAUCGGAAGGAACACCAGUGGCGAAGGCGUCUCUCUGGGCUGAAACUGACGCUGAUGCACGAAAGCGUGGGUAGCAAACAGGAUUAGAUACCCUGGUAGGCUGCU